UACGUAGGGUGCAAGCGUUAAUCGGAAUUACUGGGCGUAAAGCGUGCGCAGGCGGCUUUGCAAGACAGAUGUGAAAUCCCCGGGCUCAACCUGGGAACUGCAUUUGUGACUGCAAGGCUGGAGUACGGCAGAGGGGGAUGGAAUUCCGCGUGUAGCAGUGAAAUGCGUAGAUAUCAGGAGGAAUACCGAUGGCGAAGGCAGGUCUCUGGGCUGAAACUGACGCUCAUGCACGAAAGCGUGGGGAGCAAACAGG
rnacentral:rRNA from 1 species